GGAGGGCUUCCUCUGGUUAGUGACCCUGGAGCUGCAGCACAGGCCCUUUUCAGACGGCAGGGUUUCGCUGAGCUCACCUGGAUAAUUCAGGCUCAAUAUCCAUCCCCCAACAUCCACACAUCAUCACAUGUGUAAAAUACUUCCAGCCUGAUAAAAAUGUAUUUACAAUUUCUGGGGAUUAUGGUCUGGACAUCUCUGGAGAUCAUUAUUUUGUCAACCUCCAUAGCACCAGCAGGCCCUCUGCAGUCAGCCCAGAUUCAGCAGAGAGCCCUGCACCAGCAAGAAGGCCUUCACCAGAUGCUGCUUCUCAGCCUUGAACUUUCCAGCCUUCAGAACCAUGAGCCAA